UAAAGGAGUUAUUGUCCUUUAUAGUCAAUUUUUAACAAUUUUCAUAAAUUUUGUAAUUUUUACUAACAUUUUCCACUGAAACUACUGGGCCAAGUUCAUUAUAGAUAGAGAUAAUUGUAAGCAGCAAGAAUGUUCAGUAAAGUAAGAUGUACAAACACAUCACCAUCACCAAAACACAAUUUUGUCAUGAAUCCAUCUGAUUCCUUUGUUUAAUAUUCACAUAGACCAAGGUGAGCGACACAGGCUCUUUAGAGCCUCUAGUUACUUGUAACCGAUCGUAUAAAUACGAGGACAUUAUCGAGUGCAGAAUAACAUUCCUUAGCGCUCGUUAUUAAUCCAUUUCUUAAAUGAAUACUCAUAAAAAAACAAAAUAAAUUAGAAC
rnacentral:lncRNA from 1 species